rnacentral:rRNA from 1 species
UGGUGGAGUGAUUUGUCUGCUUAAUUGCGAUAACGAACGAGACCUUAACCUGCUAAAUAGCCCGGCCCGCGUUUGUCGGGUCGCAGGCUUCUUAGAGGGACUAUCGGAUUUCAAGACGAUGGAAGUUUGAGGCAAUAACA